rnacentral:rRNA from 1 species
UACGUAGGGGGCAAGCGUUAUCCGGAUUUACUGGGUGUAAGGGAGCGUAGACGGCAGGGCAAGUCUGGAGUGAAAGCCCGGGGCCCAACCCCGGGACUGCUUUGGAAACUGCCAUGCUGGAGUGCUGGAGAGGUAAGCGGAAUUCCUAGUGUAGCGGUGAAAUGCGUAGAUAUUAGGAGGAACACCAGUGGCGAAGGCGGCUUACUGGACAGUAACUGACGUUGAGGCUCGAAAGCGUGGGGAGCAAACAGG